GAUGAACGCUAGCGGCAGGCUUAAUACAUGCAAGUCGUACGGGAUCCGAGGUAGCAAUACUUUGGUGAGAGUGGCGCACGGGUGCGUAACACGUAUGCAACCUACCUAUAACCGGGACACAACCCAACGAAAGGUGAGCUAAUAUCCCAUAACACUGCGAGAUGGCAUCAUUUUGCAGUUAAAACUCCGGUGGUUAUAGAUGGGCAUGCGCGACAUUAGCUAGUUGGUGAGGUAACGGCCCACCAGGGCUACGAUGUCUAGGGGUUCUGAGAGGAUUAUCCCGUACACUGGUACUGAGACACGGACCAGACUCCUACGGGAGGCAGCAGUAAGGAAUAUUGGUCAAUGGGCGCAAGCCUGAACCAGCCAUGCCGCGUGAAGGAUGACGGCCCUAUGGGUUGUAAACUUCUUUUGUACGGGAAGAAAACUUAGCCAUUAAUACUGGUUGAGGAUGACGGUACCUUGAUAAGAAGCACCGGCUAACUACGUGCCAGCAGCCGCGGUAAUAC
rnacentral:rRNA from 1 species